rnacentral:rRNA from 1 species
CCUACGGGAGGCAGCAGUGGGGAAUAUUGCACAAUGGGCGCAAGCCUGAUGCAGCGACGCCGCGUGAGGGAUGAAGGCCUUCGGGUUGUAAACCUCUUUCAGCAGGGAAGCGGUACCUGCAGAAGAAGCGCCGGCUAACUACGUGCCAGCAGCCGCGGUAAUACGUAGGGCGCAAGCGUUGUCCGGAAUUAUUGGGCGUAAAGAGCUCGUAGGCGGUUUGUCGCGUCUGCUGUGAAAACUCGAGGCUCAACCUCGGGCUUGCAGUGGGUACGGGCAGACUAGAGUGCGGUAGGGGAGACUGGAAUUCCUGGUGUAGCGGUGGAAUGCGCAGAUAUCAGGAGGAACACCGAUGGCGAAGGCAGGUCUCUGGGCCGCACUGACGCUGAGGAGCGAAAGCAUGGGGAGCGAACAGGAUUAGAUACCCUGGUAGUC